GGCAAAGAGUUGCCUACGCAUCGGUGUGCAUGUUACCAAUAACUAUUAGGUGAGGUGCAUGUCAUCGGUGGGACCACAGCACCCACUAGGAAUCCUUUAUCGCGUUAGGAUUUUUGUUUCCUUCCAAAGGAGUGGAGGGAUCCGAAAAAUUAAUGGGAGUCAUUAUUUAAUCUUAAAGUCUUUAGAAGUAAAUUAAAAUAUUAAGUACAAAAGUCUAACUUGAAUCUCUACUCUCGCAGUUAAAC
rnacentral:lncRNA from 1 species